rnacentral:rRNA from 1 species
UACGUAGGGGGCAAGCGUUGGUCCGGAAUCAUUGGGCGUAAAGCGCGCGUAGGCGGCCCGGUAAGUCCGCUGUGAAAGUCAAAGGCUCAACCUUUGAAUGCCGGUGGAUACUGUCGGGCUAGAGUCCGGAAGAGGCGAGUGGAAUUCCUGGUGUAGCGGUGGAAUGCGCAGAUAUCAGGAGGAACACCAAUAGCGAAGGCAGCUCGCUGGGACGGUACUGACGCUAAGGCGCGAAAGCGUGGGGAGCGAACAGG